AGCUGCUGCCCUGCUGCGUAUGAAGCGUGUUUGAAGUCAUGUCCAGAAGGAAAGUCAACUGAAUCAGCGUUUUGCAGGUGUAUAGAGAUGCAAUGGAGGUAGAGUCCAGCACGUACACCGACUUUAUUUCUUGCGAUCGGGCUGGUCGGAGGAACGCUGUCCACGACAUCGAACGAGAUGCAACCACCAUCAGCAUGCGCAAGCUGACCGAGGACCUAGGUGACCUCUCCGUUGAAAGAGCAGAAAGCCAAAGAGAUGCCACUUCUUCUGAGAACGACCCUGGAGCAAGACCAAAGGGGCAAGAAAACAGCCCCUCCCCAUGACAGUGUACAGGGGGUGGGAUGGGCAGGAGGAGGGCCUUGCCGUGAACAUUAAACAAGAAUUUGCUGUUGAAUCUGUGGACAAAAACCAACCUGGAACAGCAAGUUGUCUGUCAAAUGCCUCUGCUGCAACUGUUUUUGUUUAGAGAGCCACAAGAUGCUGCGCAAGGACUGGCACCUCCAAAAGACUCCUGCACCCAUCCCCAACAAUUUAGAGCAACACUGCCAUGGUCGUAGUGAUAUGAGCCAUUCUCAAGAUGCCUUAGCUGCAGUUUUCCCCAAGGGGAAAAAACGAUUUCAGUAAUAAUAGAUGCAUCAGACUUUCCUGUCCAAGGUACCUUCCUACUUUACAAACUUAGACUAUUAUUUAUUCUGUUUCCUUAGAUUAGAAAUUUAGAUUAUUGAGUUUUCUAAGCCUCACCCUCAUCUGCAUCUUAGACCUGACUUGGCCUCUGGACUGUCCAUGCAGCCCCUCAUCAGGGUGGGCGGUGGGGAAGGGACCCGGCCAGUCCCACCGCCUUCACGUCAAGCACCACUCACCUGGGCUGCUGCCGCUUAGCAUCAGGAAAGGACCAAAGUACAGCUCUGGGUGGACGAGCUCCACCUACAGACCCAGCAGCACCAGCCACAGGCAUCUUUUUCUUGGGUUUUAGCAUUUUAAGAGAUAUGUUAAGGGGAGGGGAAAAACAUUUUGCUGGUUUGACUGUUGAAAUUCAGGCUUAACUUUGCAAGCUGUUAGCUGAGAUGAUCUCUGGUAGGAUCUCACACCAUUCUCUCUUUUAGGAGACAUGUUUUGUGUUAAAGAUGGUUUGAUAAAACUAUAUAAGCUGUUGGAAUAAAUAACACAGCCUUCAAGU